rnacentral:rRNA from 1 species
AGUGAACGCUGGCGGUAGGCCUAACACAUGCAAGUCGAACGGCAGCACAGGAGAGCUUGCUCUCUGGGUGGCGAGUGGCGGACGGGUGAGGAAUACAUCGGAAUCUACUCUGUCGUGGGGGAUAACGUAGGGAAACUUACGCUAAUACCGCAUACGACCUACGGGUGAAAGCAGGGGAUCUUCGGACCUUGCGCGAUUGAAUGAGCCGAUGUCGGAUUAGCUAGUUGGCGGGGUAAAGGCCCACCAAGGCGACGAUCCGUAGCGGGGCUGAGAGGAUGAUCAGGCACACUGGAACUGAGACACGGUCCAGACUCCGACGGGAGGCAGCAGUGGGGAAUAUUGGACAAUGGGCGCAAGCCUGAUCCAGCCAUACCGCGUGGGUGAAGAAGGCCUUCGGGUUGUAAAGCCCUUUUGUUGGGAAAGAAAUCCAGCUGGCUAAUACCCGGUUGGGAUGACGGUACCCAAAGAAUAAGCACCGGCUAACUUCGUGCCAGCAGCCGCGGUAA